UGAGGAAUAAGCCUCGGCUAACUACGUGCCAGCAGCCGCGGUAAUACGUAGGAGGCGAGCGUUAUCCGGAUUUACUGGGCGUAAAGAGAGCGUAGGCGGUUCUUCAAGUCGGAUGUAAAAUCUCCCGGCUCAACUGGGAGGCGCCAUGAGAAACUGUCGGACUUGAGGGCAGCAGAGGAAGACGGAAUUCCAGGAGUAGUGGUGAAAUGCGUAGAUACCUGGAGGAACCCCAGUGGCGAAGGCGGUCUUCUGGGCUGUUACCUGACGCUGAGGCGCGAGAGCGUGGGGAGCAAACCGGAUUAGAUACCCGGGUAGUCCACGCCCUAAACGAUGGACACUAGGUCUGGGGGGUAUCGACCCUCUCCGGGCCGAAGCUAACGCUUUAAGUGUCCCGCCUGGGAAGUACGGCCGCAAGGCUAAAACUCAAAGGAAUUGACGGGGACCCGCACAAGCAGCGGAGCGUGUGGUUUAAUUCGAUGCUAAGCGAAGAACCUUACCAGGGUUUGACAUGCUGGAAGUAGAAACCCGAAAGGGGGACGACCUGUAAAGUCAGGAACCUGCACAGGUGCUGCAUGGCUGUCGUCAGCUCGUGCCGUGAGGUGUUGGGUUAAGUCCCGCAACGAGCGCAACCCUCGCCGUUAGUUGAUUUCUCUAACGGGACUGCCGGGCGAAACCCGGAGGAAGGCGGGGAUGACGUCAAGUCAGCAUGGCCCUUAUGUCCUGGGCUACACACACGCUACAAUGGGCGGUACAAUGGGAUGCCAAGGUGCGAGCCUGAGCUAAUCCCCUAAAACCGUCCUCAGUUCGGAUUGCAGGCUGAAACCCGCCUGCAUGAAGUCGGAGUUGCUAGUAACCGCAGGUCAGCACACUGCGGUGAAUACGUUCCCGGGUCCUGUACACACCGCCCGUCACGUCAUGGGAGUCGGUAACACCCCAAGCCGGUGGGCUAACCCGCAAGGGAGGCAGCUGUCCAAGGUGGGACCAGCGACCGGGACGAAGUCGUAACAAGGUAGCCGUAGCGGAAGCUGCGGCUGGAUCACCUCCUUU
rnacentral:rRNA from 1 species